rnacentral:rRNA from 1 species
AGGUUACUGCUAUCGGUGUUCGCCUAAGCCAUGCGAGUCAUAUGUUCUUCGUGAACAUGGCGUACUGCUCAGUAACACGUGGAUAACCUGCCCUUGGGUCCGGCAUAACCCCGGAAAACUGGGGAUAAUUCCGGAUAACGCACAUAUGCUGGAAUGCUUUAUGCGUCAAAUGGAUUCGUCCGCCCAAGGAUGGGUCUGCGGCCUAUCAGGUAGUAGUGGGUGUAAUGUACCUACUAGCCUACGACGGGUACGGGUUGUGAGAGCAAGAGCCCGGAGAUGGAUUCUGAGACAUGAAUCCAGGCCCUACGGGGCGCAGCAGGCGCGAAAACUUUACAAUGCGGGAAACCGUGAUAAGGGGACACCGAGUGCCAGCAUCAUAUGUUGGCUGUCCGGGUGUGUAAAAUACACCUGUUAGCAGGGGCCGGGCAAGACCGGUGCCAGCCGCCGCGGUAACACCGGCGGCCCGAGUGGUGAUCGUGAUUAUUGGGUCUAAAGGGUCCGUAGCCGGUUUGGUCAGUCCUCCGGGAAAUCUGACGGCUUAACCGUUAGGCUUUCGGGGGAUACUGCCAGACUUGGAACCGGGAGAGGUAAGAGGUACUACAGGGGUAGGAGUGAAAUCUUGUAAUCCCUGUGGGACCACCUGUGGCGAAGGCGUCUUACCAGAACGGGUUCGACGGUGAGGGACGAAAGCUGGGGGCACGAACCGGAUUAGAUACCCGGGUAGUCCCAGCCGUAAACGAUGCUCGCUAGGUGUCAGGCAUGGCGCGACCGUGUCUGGUGCCGCAGGGAAGCCGUGAAGCGAGCCACCUGGGAAGUACGGCCGCAAGGCUGAAACUUAA